rnacentral:rRNA from 1 species
UACGUAGGGGGCUAGCGUUGUCCGGAAUCAUUGGGCGUAAAGGGUGCGUAGGCGGCGCGGUAAGUCGGGUGUGAAAUCUCGGAGCUUAACUUCGAAACUGCAUUCGAUACUGCCGUGCUUGAGGACUGGAGAGGAGACUGGAAUUUACGGUGUAGCGGUGAAAUGCGUAGAUAUCGUAAGGAAGACCAGUGGCGAAGGCGGGUCUCUGGACAGUUCCUGACGCUGAGGCACGAAGGCCAGGGGAGCAAACGGG